rnacentral:rRNA from 1 species
CCUACGGGAGGCAGCAGUGAGGAAUAUUUGUCAAUGGACGAGAGUCUGAACCAGCCAAGUAGCGUGAAGGAUGACUGCCCUAUGGGUUGUAAACUUCUUUUAUAUGGGAAUAAAAUGUUCCACGUGUGGGAUUUUGUAUGUACCAUAUGAAUAAGGAUCGGCUAACUCCGUGCCAGCAGCCGCGGUAAUACGGAGGAUCCGAGCGUUAUCCGGAUUUAUUGGGUUUAAAGGGAGCGUAGGUGGAUUGUUAAGUCAGUUGUGAAAGUUUGCGGCUCAACCGUAAAAUUGCAGUUGAAACUGGCAGUCUUGAGUACAGUAGAGGUGGGCGGAAGUCGUGGUGUAGCGGUGAAAUGCUUAGAUAUCACGAAGAACUCCGAUUGCGAAGGCAGUUCACUGGACUGCAACUGACACUGAGGCUCGAAAGUGUGGGUAUCAAACAGGAUUAGAUACCCGAGUAGUC